AAUCAACGCUGGCGGCGUGCCUCAGACAUGCAAGUCGAACGAUUAAACUUUCCUUCGGGAAAGAUAUAAAGUGGCGCACGGGUGAGUAACACGUAGGUAAUGUACCUUUGGGUGGGGAAGUAACUUAGGGAAACUUAAGCUAAUACCGCAUAAUGCGAUAACUUCUUCGGAAGAUUUUGUUAAAGAUUAUCGCCUGAAGAGCAGCCUGCGGCAGAUUAGCUAGUUGGUAAGGUAACGGCUUACCAAGGCUACGAUCUGUAUCCGACCUGAGAGGGUGGUCGGACACACUGACACUGAAUAACGGGUCAGACUCCUACGGGAGGCAGCAGUCGGGAA
rnacentral:rRNA from 1 species